GGAGAGUCCUCCCUCAAGAAUCUCCUCUCAUGCCUAGCAGGGGGAGAUGCUUAGGAAAUAACAGGGGCCCUUCCCAGAAAAGCUCUGCAUUGGGGUCUACUCUUACCUACCCAGCAGGGGGACCCCAUACUAAACACGUUCUCAUCUACAAUUUAAGGUAGCUAGAGCACCAGAGCUCAAAGUUCUCCCUACAUGAAUCAGCACAGGUGGCCCUUGGAAUAACCCUUUGAAACAUUUGAGAAACAUUCAGCAGAACAGCAGAAGGUCUGGUGGCAGCCUUCAUCUGCACCGCAGGGGGUCCCCCUCUAAAGACAGCUCCAGGACAUGGUCUCCCUCAGAAAAAUUCAUUGGGUAACCUGGGAAAGCAUCAAUAGAACAGAGGGUGCAGUGGCGGCCUUCAGCUGCACAGCAGGGGGUCCUCCCCCAAAGACAGCUCCAGGACCUGGUCUCGUUCCCAGAGUUCCUGGCCAGUCCCCUCAACUGCAUACCUGAGAUCGUCCUUUUACAGGAAGCUCCGGAAUAUUGAGAGUGACUCCUGCACAGCAUGGAGGAGAGUCCUCCCUCAAGAAUCUCCUCUCAUACCUAGCAGGGGGAGAUGCUUAGGAAAUAACAGGGGCCCUUCCCAGAAAAGCUCUGCAUUGGGGUCUACUCUUACCUACCCAGCAGGGGGACCCCAUACUAAACACGUUCUCAUCUACAAUUUAAGGUAGGUAGAGCAUCAGAGCUCAAAGUUCUCCCUACAUGCAUCAGCACAGGUGGCCCUUGGAAUAACCCUUUGAAACACCUGAGAAACAUUCAACAGAACAGCAGAGGAUGCGGUGGCGUUCUUCAGCUGCACAGCAGGGGGUCCUCUUCCAAAGACAACUCCAGGACAUCAUGGAUUCCCACAUAUUUUAUGCUGUCGACAGUUAUUCUGAAUGGAAUUCCUCUUUGUAUCUCUUGCUGUUGGAUUUUGUUGGUGAUGUAUAAACAUGCUGAGGAUUUAUGGGGAUUUAUUUUGUAUCCUUCAUCUUUGCUAAAAUUAUGAAUUUUUUCUAGUAGCUUUUUAGGAGAAUCUCUGGGGCUCUCUAAGUAUAUCAUCACAUCAUCUGCAAAGAGUGAUAGUUUGGUUUCCUCAUUGCCUACUCUAAUUCCUUUAAUCUCUUAGCCAUUUUGGUGGGUGUGAAAAGGAAUCUCGAAAGACAAGACCAAGGGUCUCCUUACUAACACAGAGCUAAUUUUCAGAGAGUGCCUUGGCGGCCUUCAUCUGCACUGCAGGGGGUCUUCCUCCCAAGACAUCUCCAGGACAUGGUCUCCCUCAGACAAAUUCAUUGGAAAACUUGGGAAACCUUCAAGAUAACAGGGGGUGCUGUGGCGGCCUUCAUCUGUACAGCAGGGGGUCUUCUUCCAAACACAGCUCCAGGACAUGGUCUCGUUCCCAGAGUUCCUGGCCAGUCCCCUCAACUGUACUGCCUGGGAUCCUUCUCCUACAGGAAGCUCCUGAAUAUUGACAGUUUCCAGUGCGGCAAGGAGGAGAGUCCUCCCAAAAGCAACUGCUGGCACCCCUAACAGGGGCAGAUGCUUAAGAAAAUAACAGGGGUCCUCCCCAGGGAAAAAUACAUUGGGGGGAAACCAGUAGGUACACAGCAGGGGGUCCUCCACACUAAAUCAACUCUCAUCUACAAUUUCAGUACCAGGAGCAUCAGAGCUCAAAGUUCUCCCUGCAUACGUGUCCUCAGGUUUCCCUCGGAAUAACCCUUUGAAACAGCUGGGAAAGCUUCAGCAGAACAGCAGAGGGUGCAGUGGCGGCCUUCAUCUCCACAGCAGAGGGUCCUUCCCCAACAACAGCUCCAUGAUCUGGUUUUGUUCCCAGAGUUCCUGGCCCUCUACUGCACAGAAUGGCAUCCUCCUUAUGUAGGAGUUCUGGAACAUUGACAACGAUUCCUGUGCAGCACAAAGAGAAGUCCUCCCUAAACAACAACACUUGUCCCUGCCGGGAGGAAAUAUUUAGGAAAAUACCCGGGGUCCUCCACAGGGAAACUUUAAAUGCACAUCAGGGAGUCUUCCUUACUAAUCCCAUUCUCACCUAUAAUUUGGGGGUCCAGAGGAUGACUGAACCUCAAAAUUCUCUCUCUCUGCUUCCCUCUCUCUUCUAUAUAGAUAUCUUUACAUAGGUAAUCCUCCUAGUCAAAAAGCUGACACUUAGCUUGAGGCAUAAGGAAACUGAGGCAGCCCAGUGGGGGUCUCCCUCCCAAGCUAGAUCUUAGCCAUUGUGGUGGGUGUGGGAAGGAAUCUGGAGGGACAAGAGCAGGGGUCUCCUUACCAACACAGGCCUAAUUUUCAGAGGGUGCCUUGGCGGCCUUCAUCUGUACAGCAGGGGGUCCUCCUCCAAAGACAGCUCCAAGACAUGGUCUUGUUCCUGGCGUUCAUGCCCAGGGUCCUCAAUUGCAGAACAGGGGCUGCUCCUUAUACAGAAAGCUCCCAAACUUGGAGAGUGAUUCCUGUGGAGCACGGAGGUACCAAAAGCAUCAUUGCUCAAAGUUCUCCCUGCAUACGUAGCCUCAGGUCUCCCUCACAAUAACCCUUUGUAACAGCUGGGAAACAUUCAACAGAACAACAGGUCUUGUUCCCAGAGUCCCUGGCCCUCAACCGCACAGGAUGGCAUCCUCCUUAUGUAGGAGUUCCGGAACAUUGACAGUGAUUCCUGUGCAGCAAGAAGGGAAGUCCUCCCUAAAGCAACAACACUCCUCCCUGGCGGGAGGAGACAUUUAGGAAAAUAGCCCCCAGGCAGAUGCAUUUGGAGGCAACUGCUUGAGGGAGGAAUGAAGAAGGGACCUGAAACUCUCAAACUCCUUGAAGAAGAAAAUUGCCUUCAACUCACAGAGGGAAAGAAGAUAAACGGCUUCAUUCUGUCUGUGAUCUGGGUACAACUGGCUCAGUCCUCAGCUAAAAGAAUUUCAGCCCUAUUCAUUUAAAGAUCUUCAGUUCAACUCCAGCCAGCGGCUUCACUGGGAGAGGGAGCAGGCCUCCCUUGCAGCGAAAGACCACCUUACAAAAAUGGCAAUGAAAAACUCAUUGCUUUGCAGAGGUUCUAGGAUGCCACCUAUGCCAGGCUCGCUGUGCCAAGGAGGCCUCUGCCCACUGGAUAAUUACCCUCUCUUUAUCCUCACCUACUGCCCUCACCUAUGCCUCUCUGUCAGGAUUUCUAACCUUACUUCCCACUCCCUGUAAUAAAUGGCUUGUAUCAGUCUAGGUUUUCGGGUUU
rnacentral:lncRNA from 1 species